CUAAUGGUACUUUGGGCAACCAAGUUGCUUGGUUGGGAGCCUAUAAAUGGGGUAGAUGAUGCCAAAAGACCGAAUACAAUAUAUUCUCCAUAAAUACUUCAUUUAAUGCAAUUAUCUUCUUUUAGUUACAUUCACGCAACAAGCUUUUUUCAAACUAUCAAUUAAAUCGAUCUAAAUUGACCACAUCAUUUUUAGACAUCGAAAAACUCUUUUUGUAUAUUAAUGGAACGCUAUUGAAGAACAUAAAUUCAAUUAAGCCACCGCUUAAUUUUAUGUUAAUACAACUCACAUAAGUUAGUGGACAAAAUAAAUCAAUUAAAGAUUCGAAAUGACUAUGAAUCGUGUGAUGUGGUUUAUUAUCCGUGUAUAUCACGUAUUCAUUGUAUUGUUAUCACAUUUUAAUAUUGUUCACAAUAAUUUGACAUCCCUGUUGUCCAGACCAGAGUUGUGUUCCGCAGGGAAAGAUGAGGUCAUUAUCGUGAAUUAAAAGAUAAGAAUUUAGCCCCUGUUUGUUUCUCAUUAUUUGUCCAUUAAAAUGAAAAAUAUGAUCGUUAUUCAUCACAUCAAGUCAUCAUAUUUGACUUUCUAUUUCUUGUGUGAGGUCUGUAACAAUUAUAUUUUUCAUUAUUAUUUUUACAUUAAUGUGUACAGAACGGGAUCUAAUUUUCCUCUUAGUAUCCAUCAAUAAUGAGAGGCGGAAAGUGACAGAUAAUUCAUUUAUUUAACGUGCGCUAAGGGCUAGCUUAUCUCAUGGCCACAGACUGGAAAGAUACACGAUGACAGCACUGCACUUGACAACUCUGAAUAGAAAAACAAUUCCCAACGUUCCGAAGAACACUCUGGAAGCAUCUCACAGGGAGCCACGUGUCGAAUUUUGACUCGAUUAGUUAUUAUUCUAUUAAAGAAAUUUUGAAAAGCAGGCUACAUUUGUCUUAUACUACCCAGUAAACUGUGAAGUGGCGAGAACACGAUUAUUUAAUUUCUUUUUUUUUUUAAAUUCAUUUUUAGCCCUGUUUGGUACCCAUUUUUUACAAAAUGUAUUUUUCUCUCUUCUUUUCAACCACAUAUUCUUUAUUAAAAUAAUAUUAC
rnacentral:lncRNA from 1 species